rnacentral:rRNA from 1 species
GAUGAACGCUGGCGGCGUGCCUAAUACAUGCAAGUCGAGCGAACAGACGAGGAGCUUGCUCCUCUGACGUUAGCGGCGGACGGGUGAGUAACACGUGGAUAACCUUCCUAUAAGACUGGGAUAACUUCGGGAAACCGGAGCUAAUACCGGAUAAUAUAUUGAACCGCAUGGUUCAAUAGUGAAAGACGGUUUUGCUGUCACUUAUAGAUGGAUCCGCGCCGCAUUAGCUAGUUGGUAAGGUAACGGCUUACCAAGGCAACGAUGCGUAGCCGACCUGAGAGGAUGAUCGGCCACACUGGAACUGAGACACGGUCCAGACUCCUACGGGAGGCAGCAGUAGGGAAUCUUCCGCAAUGGGCGAAAGCCUGACGGAGCAACGCCGCGUGAGUGAUGAAGGUCUUCGGAUCGUAAAACUCUGUUAUUAGGGAAGAACAAAUGUGUAAGUAACUAUGCACGUCUUGACGGUACCUAAUCAGAAAGCCACGGCUAACUACGUG